CAGUCGGAGCUGCUGGGACCCUCUCACAGUAGCUUUUCAAAUUGCAAGAGAGACAGUAGUUUUUAGAGAACUUUAAGACUCCUAAGAAGCUACAACUAUUGUAAUUGGAGUAUUUUAAACAUUUAAAUGUAUCUAAAGUUAGUAUUUCCGUCUGAAUUUGAAUGUAGUUAGUCUAAAAACAGUUGUGGGAAAUGAGAAGAGCAGGAAACUAAGAAGUUAGUGGAAGCACGCCUUGCCUCUUCCCAAACUAUCUGUGUGAAGUAUUACUAGAUUAGUUACUAGCAGUUUGAAAUGGAGGAAUAAAGCUUGAGCAAUUGACCGAUAUUAUCAUCCAUCAACCAUGAUGUUUCCCACUACAAAAUGGCAGUUUUGGAAAAAUAUUCGGAAGUAAUCAGAAGAAACAGUUUUCAUCUGAGUAGUUUAAGGAUUCCUUGGCUGAAAUAAAGGAAACCACACCACAGAAACUACACGAGUAAAAUGGGCCACUCAUAAGCUUGAGGCGACAACCUAGAGCACAAGCACUUACGUGCAACCCUCUGCAGAACACUAAGAACAGUAAUUUUGGAGCAUGACCUUUUCUUCAAGCUUAAGGAAAUGACAAUAGGAAAAUUAUUCAUCAACUGGUAAUGGAAAGAAGAUGGCUAUGGUAUAUGUACAUUGACAGAAAACAAAACUAAUAAACAAACCAAGAAGUUGCCAAGCAAGGUUCAGAUAUGUUUGUUACAUUCUGUGGAGACAGAGAAGAAAAACUAGAUCUAAAGCCUGGCCAGCAUGGUGAAAUGCUAUUUCUACUAAA